rnacentral:rRNA from 1 species
UACGAAGGGGGCUAGCGUUGCUCGGAAUUACUGGGCGUAAAGCGCACGUAGGCGGCUUCUUAAGUCGGGGGUGAAAUCCCGGAGCUCAACUCCGGAACUGCCUUCGAUACUGGGAAGCUCGAGUCCGGGAGAGGUGAGUGGAACUGCGAGUGUAGAGGUGAAAUUCGUAGAUAUUCGCAAGAACACCAGUGGCGAAGGCGGCUCACUGGCCCGGUACUGACGCUGAGGUGCGAAAGCGUGGGGAGCGAACAGG